rnacentral:rRNA from 1 species
GACGAACGCGGCGGCGUGCCUAAUACAUGCAAGUCGAGCGGAUCUUGUCCUUCGGGAUAAGGUUAGCGGCGGACGGGUGAGUAACACGUAGGCAACCUGCCCUCGAGACUGGGAUAACCUCCGGAAACGGAUGCUAAUACCAGAUACGCGAUCUUCCCACCUGGGGAGAUCGGGAAAGACGGAGCAAUCUGUUACUCGGGGAUGGGCCUGCGGCGCAUUAGCUAGUUGGUGAGGUAACGGCUCACCAAGGCGACGAUGCGUAGCCGACCUGAGAGGGUGAUCGGCCACACUGGGACUGAGACACGGCCCAGACUCCUACGGGAGGCAGCAGUAGGGAAUCUUCCGCAAUGGACGAAAGUCUGACGGAGCAACGCCGCGUGAGUGAGGAAGGCCUUCGGGUCGUAAAGCUCUGUUGCCAGGGAAGAACGCUUGGGAGAGUAACUGCUCUCAAGGUGACGGACCUGAGAAGAAAGCCCC